rnacentral:piRNA from 1 species
UGGAGCUAUCAAGCCAGUAGCAACUCUGCAGU